rnacentral:rRNA from 1 species
GCUUUUGUGUUGAUUAUGCGUAUUUAUUUAUGUGCAAUGUUAGGUUAAAUUUUUUUGUGACAGUGUGUGGUAAAUAGGUUUUGUUAUGAUAUAUAUGAUGACAGGGAUUAGAUACCCCAUUAAUGUAUUUUGUAAAGUUGUUCUAGUUUUGUAACUAAAAUGGUUUGGCAGUGAGCGAUUCUUAUUAGGGGAAUAUGCAUAGUGAAGGAUGGUCCACCUAUUAGUUUACUCUUUUUAUGUUGGUGUAUGUCUGGUUUGA